rnacentral:rRNA from 1 species
UACGGAGGGUGCGAGCGUUGUCCGGAAUCAUUGGGCGUAAAGGGCGCGUAGGUGGCCCGGUCAGUCAGUGGUGAAAGCGCGGGGCUCAACUCCGCGUCGGCCAUUGAUACUGCUGGGCUGGAGCACUGUAGAGGCGGGCGGAAUUCCGGGUGUAGCGGUGGAAUGCGUAGAUAUCUGGAGGAACACCGGUGGCGAAGGCGGCGUUCUGGACUGCAACUGACACUGAGGAACGAAAGCCAGGGGAGCAAACGGG